AUUGAACGCUGGCGGCAUGCUUUACACAUGCAAGUCGAACGGUAACAGGCCGCAAGGUGCUGACGAGUGGCGAACGGGUGAGUAAUGCAUCGGAACGUGCCCAGUCGUGGGGGAUAACGCAGCGAAAGCUGCGCUAAUACCGCAUACGAUCUCUGGAUGAAAGCGGGGGACCGAAAGGCCUCGCGCGAUUGGAGCGGCCGAUGUCAGAUUAGGUAGUUGGUGGGGUAAAGGCCCACCAAGCCAACGAUCUGUAGCUGGUCUGAGAGGACGACCAGCCACACUGGGACUGAGACACGGCCCAGACUCCUACGGGAGGCAGCAGUGGGGAAUUUUGGACAAUGGGCGCAAGCCUGAUCCAGCAAUGCCGCGUGCAGGAAGAAGGCCUUCGGGUUGUAAACUGCUUUUGUACGGAACGAAACGGUCCGGGUUAAUACCCUGGGCUAAUGACGGUACCGUAAGAAUAAGCACCGGCUAACUACGUGCCAGCAGCCGCUGUAACAC
rnacentral:rRNA from 1 species